rnacentral:tRNA from 1 species
GGGGUUGUGGCUCAGUGGUAGAGCAUUCACUCAGCAUGUGCGAGGUGCUGGGUUCAAUCCUCAGAACCACA